UGGUUCGCAUUGUGCGAUGAAAAGGGAAUUGGGUGAGAAUCCCAGACUGUCCCGCAGCUGUAAGUCCCCAUUGUGUGAAGGCAAGGAUGCCACUGUCCGUCAGACGGGAAGGCGCCUUCAGAGGGGAGUAAGUCAGAAGACCUGCCGUCGGCUUUU
rnacentral:ncRNA from 1 species